AGAGUUUGAUCCUGGCUCAGGAUGAACGCUAGCGGCAGGCCUAAUACAUGCAAGUCGAACGUGAUUGUUUUAGCAAUAGAACAUGAAAGUGGCGCACGGGUGCGUAACACGUAUGCAAUCUACCUUUAAUAGGAGAAUAGCUUCGAGAAAUCGGAAUUAAUACUCCAUAACAUAAUUGAGUGGCAUCACUUGAUUAUCAAACCUCCGGGGAUUAGAGAUGAGCAUGCGCAACAUUAGCUAGUUGGUAAGGUAAUGGCUUACCAAGGCUACGAUGUUUAGGGGGUCUGAGAGGAUGAUCCCCCACACUGGUACUGAGACACGGACCAGACUCCUACGGGAGGCAGCAGUAGGGAAUAUUGGGCAAUGGAGGCAACUCUGACCCAGCCAUGCCGCGUGUAGGAAGAAUGCCCUCUGGGUUGUAAACUACUUUUAUACGGGAAGAAAAAAUACUACGUGUAGUAUACUGACGGUACCGUAAGAAUAAGGAUCGGCUAACUCCGUGCCAGCAGCCGCGGUAAUACGGAGGAUUCGAGCGUUGUCCGGAUUUAUUGGGUUUAAAGGGUGCGUAGGCGGAUUUUUAAGUCAGUGGUGAAAGCCUGCAG
rnacentral:rRNA from 1 species